UACGAAGGGGGCUAGCGUUGCUCGGAAUCACUGGGCGUAAAGCGCACGUAGGCGGCUUUCUAAGUCAGGGGUGAAAUCCUGGAGCUCAACUCCAGAACUGCCUUUGAUACUGGAGAGCUCGAGUCCGGAAGAGGUGAGUGGAACUGCGAGUGUAGAGGUGAAAUUCGUAGAUAUUCGCAAGAACACCAGUGGCGAAGGCGGCUCACUGGUCCGGUACUGACGCUGAGAUGCGAAAGCGUGGGGAGCAAACAGG
rnacentral:rRNA from 1 species